AUGACUUAGCGACUGAUCUGCAACAAUAUGGUUGCUAAAAAUUAAUUAGCAGAAAGAGCAAAUGGACAAUAUAUCCAGAAAGCAGAAAUGAGUAACAGAUGGAAAAUAUAAGAUGGGAGAAUAGACAGAGUAUGGAACAGGUAACAGCAAAAAAGAACGAACUGGAACUUUAUUGACUUGAAGAACCAAAAUAAAGACCCAAAUGCACAACUGAAGAAUCAUAAGACAUAAGCAGAUAAAACAUCAAGAAAUAUAAUGAUGAAAACCCAAAGGAACAAAACUUAAAUGCAGUAGAGCAAUAAAUCAAAGCUCAAGAGUCUAUGUAAAUAAAUCUUUGAUUUUCU
rnacentral:lncRNA from 1 species